rnacentral:rRNA from 1 species
UACGUAGGGGGCAAGCGUUGUCCGGAUUUAUUGGGCGUAAAGAGCGUGUAGGCGGCUUGGAAGGUCAGCUGUGAAAACUCGAGGCUCAACCUCGAGACGUCGGUUGAAACCACCUGGCUAGAGUCCGGAAGAGGAGAGUGGAAUUCCCGGUGUAGCGGUGAAAUGCGCAGAUAUCGGGAAGAACACCCGUGGCGAAGGCGGCUCGCUGGGACGGUACUGACGCUGAGACGCGAAAGCGUGGGGAGCGAACAGG